AACGCUUUUAACCACAGUAAUACAUGACCAUUGUUAGACUCAAAUUGUCGUUGUUUAAUGAACACAAAAAUUUAAAAGCUCAACAGUCCGCCCAUUAAUUUACCUUCCUAUUAUCAUCUUUUAUCGUCCAUAUCAUCAUCGUCCUCCUCUCCUCUUCAUCAUCACUUUAUUCAUCCUUUUUUUUCUCCUUCCUCGUCAUUCCCUGAUUUUGUCUCUCUAUUAUUAAUACUUUACAAGUGACUCUGUUUAGAUUUUUAUAAUCACAGUUUUGCUACUGUAAUUAUAAGUGUCGAUUUACUGUUUAAUUCUGAUUUUUAAUUCUCUACACAAUAAUGUGAUAAGUAUACAGUUUAAAUAUUGUGAUUAAAUUAAUAUUUGUGACAAUGAAAUACACAGCGAAUGUGCUAUUUAUCAAUUUUAUUGCGUGAAAAUAGUAACAUUGCUUUAACUCCGGUUAUUCCCUUUGUUUUACUGUUUGUUGGCGCGUCUUUUUAACUGUUUAUUUGUUGUGUUUUGUGCCUGUUAUCUUAAUUUCUGAUUUUAUUGGAUUAUUACAAUUGAUUUUACAUUAUCAUGCUGAUUCAACAUCGAUCAGUGCCUGAUAGAGGAAUGUUUAUUUCAUCAUCUACUUCUUCUCAUUACCAUUCAUUCCCUAAGCAUAAAAAGAAAAGCCAUUCCAAUGGGUUCUAUGCUAAUCAAUGUCGUUUUUAUUGCUGUACUUAUUAUCAUCGUAAACAUUCACCUUUAUCGUCUCUAUCAUCUUACAAAAAACCUAAAGAAUACUCACUCUGUUUGUUUAUCAUGAUGAUCCUGUUUAUACAAUUGCUUUCAAUGGUUGGUACAAUAUCGGCUGACAAUUGUUUUGGUGGUAUCCAAUCGUUUGAAAAGCUGGCUAUGACUGACUUUGAUGAUGAAUAUAGUCCAGCCGGAUUUUUAUUGAGACAACCCGAUCAAGCUUUGACUCGAGAUUGUAUCAAUUUAUGCCGUCAACAACCAACCUGUCUCUCAUUUGGUCUAGAUUAUACAAGGUUUAGGUGUGCUGCUUACGCUGUUCACUCACAAGGUCUCAAUCGAAGAGCCAAUCUGGUUCCAUCCAAUACAACCAAUUUAUUUGAAAAGGUUUGCUACCUAGGAGUUCACCGGGAAGAGUAUCAAAAGGUUUGCGGAGUUGAAAGAUUGUGGGCAUUUGAGAGGGUCAAAGGUGCCUUUUUGGAAGGUUUUGUGGAGACAACACUAUCCAAUAUUGGAUCUAAAGAUGAAUGUGCCAAAUCAUGUAUGAUGGAAGCCUCAUUUACCUGCCGUAGUGCUGAUUAUGAUCAUGAUAAUCGAGUCUGUCGAUUGUCAAAAGAGGAUAGGCGAACUCAACCACAAGCAUUCAGAUUAGUGUUUGGAUCAGCUCGAGAUUACCUUGAAAAUCAAUGUGCAGCUCCAGGUCCAACUGCAUGUUUAUAUGAUACCAAGCCAAAUGUCGCUGUUAUUACAAUGGAUUCAUUAGUUUUUGCGCACAACAUUGAAGAUUGUGAACACAAAUGUGAUAAAGAGUAUACUUUCAAUUGUCGCUCCUUUUCGAUUGAUUCACAGCGUUGUUUCCUCUCAGGAGAUGAUUCCGUUUCCCUUUCACAUGCCUCUCUACCCGUUAAACACGGUGCCAUGUAUGGAGAGAAAAAAUGUGUCACUGAAACUUGUACUCAUGGUAUUUUUACCUAUGAAAAGGUUACUGGAAUGGUUUUACGGUCAGCUUUGGCAACUUCAGUUCCAAUGCCUCAUACAGCUUCCCUUGGAGUCACUGGUACUUGUCGUGAUGAGUGUGAUAAAUCAAAUUUAAAUUGUCCAGCCUUUUCCGUCUCUUAUUUAAACUCUCGGUGUGAUCUUUUGGAUCGCAACUCUCAAGGACAAUUUGGUGAUUUUGUACCCCGUGAAGGGGAAUCUUAUUUUGAAAAGAUUUGCCUUCGAGGUCCUGAGGUUGCAACAAUGUGUCAAGACAAAUUUUGGGCCUUUGAACGUGUUAUUGGCUAUGAAUUGACUCCUCUACUCUACGAACGGGUUUACCAUUUUGUACAAUCUCGCCGUUACUGUGAGGAAUAUUGUCUACAAGAAAAGCUGUUUGUUUGUCGCUCAGCACUUUACAAUGAUGAAACAACGGAAUGUAAAUUGUCGCGGGAAGAUAGGCGAACUAAACCAGCCAAUUAUAUACGCAAUCAAAAUCCGAAAAUAAAUUACCUUGAAAAUCAGUGUAUCCGUUCUCAUUCACAGUGCCCUUAUGAAAACACACCAAGUGCUUAUCCAACUUAUACCGAUAUUGUUGAAUCUCGAGAUGUCAAUUCAAGAUCUGUAUGUGAACAAUUGUGCUCAGAAAAUAAGCAAUUUAUUUGCCGUUCAUAUGCUUUCUAUUCGUCUAAUAAUAAAUGUCUAUUGUCUGGAGACGAUCGAGCUUCUGGUGGAUCUUCAGCGGUUACACUACAAUCUGGAAUGACUUACUAUGAACGUCGAUGUGCCAAAACUCCUAAUGAUCAUUAUCCAACCACUGAAGAUGAUGACAAUUCAAUAACAAGUCAUCUGAGCACAGUUCCAGGAACUGCAAGUGUCGACGAUCAAAAUAAAGCUACUACUCAUGUAACACCUAAACCAACUUCUCCUUCAACCUCUAACUUACCCGAUGAAAACACAUCAGGUAGACCAACUGUUCCAGGUUAUAGUGAUUCAACCUCAUCCACUGAUACAACAUCAACAUCAACGACUAAUGGCAAUACAAAUAGCGAUCAUACAGAUCACACGUCUUCGCCUACCGCAACUCAUAAUCAACCCAAUACCUCUGACUAUCCAAGCCCAACUAAUCCAACAGUUGACCCAUCCACCAUAACCGGACCAUUUAGUCCAACAACUUCAACUUCAUCAUCAACAAAUGGCUCAUCAACAGCUAGUUCAUCAAGUAAAGAUGGAUCCUCUUCAACAAAUGCAAGCUUUGCCAAUACAACAUCGCCAUCGCCAGCACCAAAUAAUCUUAAAUGUGGACCGAAUGGGAGAUUUACCUUCGAACGUAUUCCAGGCUUUGAACCAGUUGGUGGUUUUUUCAGUCUUUUAUACUCGGAUAAAUCUAAUCCAGGAAUAGUAACUGAGUGUUCACGUCGAUGUGAACAUAACAUUGGAUGUACAGCAUUUAUUAUGGAUUACACUCGACGUUCCUGUUUUGGACUAUUUGAAAAUGCAUCAAUCGGACGACUAGACCUUCGAAUUUCUCCAGGUCGUGAUUAUUUUGAAGGAUUUUGUGUGGCUUCCCAUUUAACGUGCCCCAAAUUAUGGACAUUUGAUCGUAUUGUCGAUCAAGCAUCUAUUGGUGUUCAACCUAAAUCAAUAAUACGCUAUCUUCAUAAACCCGAUUGUCGUCUUCGCUGUUUAGAGGAGCGCAGAUUUAAUUGUAUGUCAGCUAGUUAUGAUGCGACUCUUCGUGAGUGUAAAUUGUUUGAUCAAGAUCGUAACUCGGGUCCAUUGAGAUUGGUUUUCACCAAAGGAACGGAUUACAUUGAAAAUCAAUGUAACAUUGAUGUGUCUUCAUGCAGAUUUCAUCCAAUUGAACGAGAUAUAACAAUAGUUGCAGUUACUAAAGCUUUAAAGGGUUCAUCAACCUUCUUCUGUGAACAAGAGUGCAAUAGACAAAAAGAGUUUAAUUGUCGAUCAUACACUUAUCUUGAUCAGACAAAUAUUCCUGGAGGUAAUUUAUGUUUACUCAGCUCUGAUAGCAGAGGAACCAGUCAAAAAGAAGCAAUGGGAUUCCGUCCAAGAGCUUUGUAUGCUGAAAAAGAUUGCCGUGGCUUUCGAAAGGGUCGAGUAUCUUCAACUCCUGAAACAACAGAUAAACCUCAACAAUCGACUCAGCAACUUCCACCUCCCUCUCAACCUUCUUUCCCACCUCCACCAAUCUCGUUUCCACCUCAACCUUUAUCACCUCCAAUUGAUUUAACAACCAUGAUUACCAAAAGUCCAGCUGAAACAAUUAUUCCUCCAAGAAAAUGUUCAACCUUUGACUUUACAUAUGAAAAAACGUAUGGAUUUGAUUUGAGGUUUGCUCGUCGGGAAAGAUCAAGAGUUCCUCCUAGUUUGGGAAUAACCACAGCAUGUCAAGAUGAAUGUACUCGUCGUGGACAUAGGUGUCGAGCUUUCUCAAUUGAAUACGGUCCUAACCAACAUUGUUUCCUUCUGGAAGAUUCAGCUGGUGAAAAUCAUUUGGCUCUCUCAAAGAUUCCUAAUAUUGCUUACUUUGAAAAAAUUUGUUUAAAAGCAAAACCUUGUGGACGUCUUUGGUCUUUUGAACGCAUCAUUGGUUAUCAAUUAACUGAUUUACCUGACCGUGAGAUACAUAAUGUUGAUUUACGAUCAGAUUGUCAAGAUCAUUGUUUAGCUGAAUCUACCUUUGUUUGUCGAUCAGCAACCUUUGAUUAUUCUCGGAAAAUCUGUAAAUUAUUUAAGGAAACUCAGCGAUCCCGUCCAAGUGCCUUCAAAGCAACAUCCGAAGAGAUUGAUUAUCUUGAAAAUCAUUGUGUUAAAGAACCAUCAAGCUGCCAAUACAAAGACUUCACAGAUACAUUUUCUGGUAACAUUGAUAGAGUAACUCAUGCAUUUUCAUUAACCGAUUGUCAACGUCAAUGUGAUACUGAACGCUUGUUUCCCUGUCGAGCACUCAAUUAUGAAUCUUAUUCUCGUGAAUGUUUACUAUCAAGUUAUGACAUUGCCUCAAUCGGUUUAGGACAGAAAGCCUUACAAUUAAGACGACACUCAAUUUACAGUGAAAAAGGAAACUGUGAACAAGUUACUGUCCAAUGUAAUCCUCAAGAUAUGGUUUUAACCUUAAAUUUUGAUACACCCUUUAUGGGUCGAGUAUAUGCCAAAGGAAAUCCUGCUCAAUGUUUUGAGGUUGGAACAGGACAAACCCGGAUGCAAUUUUCAAUAUCAUUUGGAACUCGAUGUGGAACUCGACAAGAGGGCCUAAAAAAUUUUGUCAAUGAAAUUGUGGUUCAACAACAUGCUGUCAUAAUGACUGACAGUGAUCGUACAAUUAAAGUAAUGUGUUCACUUAAUGCCAUUGACCAGACGGUUACACUUCACUCAGCUAAUCAAGGGCGAUCAGGAAUUGAUGUUACUUCACUAAAAACUGGUAAAAGUGCUCUUGAAAGGCCAAUACCAUCGGUUGUUACCAAUACUGCAGCACCUCCAACUGUGGUAAUGAGGAUUCUUGAUCGAACUGAUCGCGAUGCAACCCUAGUUUCAUUGGGUGACGAAUUAACCAUGAAAAUUGAAAUAUUGGAUAUAACAUCAGCAUUUGCAAUUUCAGCUCGUAAUCUUUAUGCAAGAAGCUCAAGUGGAGAGUCUUUAUAUCUUAUUGAUGCAAAUGGUUGUCCAACUGAUGCAUCAAUCUUUCCAAGUUUACGGCUUGAUCCUAAUGAUGGCAAAUCAUUAAGAUCAACAUUCAAAGCUUUCCGUUUUCCUUCAACUGGUGUUGUUAAUUUUGAAGUUCAAAUACGCUUUUGUCCAGACAAAUGUUUUCCUGUUAAAUGUCCCGAAUCACUUGAAUCUUUUGGUCGCAGGAAACGAUCAAGUUUAGGCAAAAAUUCUGAUGGUGAUGAUAUAGUUGAUGAUGAAGAUGAGCUUGAAGGUAAAACGAUUCGAACCUUAGGUGAACCAACUAGUACAAUAGCUACGGACUUUAAAUUGGCCGAUUUAUUGAAUAAAAAUCGCAGCGCUCUUCACCAUAGAUCUGAAGGUUAUACUUAUAAUGUUCCUGAGUCAGAGGCUAAUAAAGGUUACAACUAUGAAGUAUCUCUUCAUUCAACCACAAUGGUUCCACAUUUACCGGCACCGCUUGAGCUUGUUGGAACAACAAAUAGUUUCAAUAAAUCUUAUCAAUUCUCAAAUGAUUAUAAACCUGCUAUAAAUCGAAUGGGUUCAAGUUAUCAUUCACCUCCAUCAGCUUUGACUAGCAGUUAUCAAUACAAUCCAUACUCGUCUUAUAAUCAACCUGAUUCAGGAUAUAAUUAUGGUCAAACUGGCUAUGGUUAUGGUCAUCAUUCAAAUACACCAAUGAAUCAAUAUCCAAGUUUUAGUGGAUAUGGAAGUAAUCAACCUAACAGUUAUGUAAAUAAUUAUCAGAAUUAUGAAAAUUCGUAUCAACAUUCACAGCCAAAUGGUUAUAAUAACAAUAACAAUAACCAACAGCAAAAUAACAAUGCAAACAAUGAAAAUUUUCAACCAAUGGAUCAUUAUCGUCCUUCAGCUGCUUCAUCAUCAUCACCAUCAUCAGCUCAAUCAUCGACCUCUUAUGGGUCUGGUACAAGAGUAGCAUCUUCAAACAAAUUACCUUCAUCUUCUGUAUCAUCAUUUUCCUCGGAAAGCAACAAUAACUAUCCAAGAGAAUUACCUUCAAGUCCGUCAACUAUCAACAUCAUUGGUACUCGCAUUAAUCCAUCGGGUGGAGUUAACAAAGGUUUACCAGAUAAAGAUGAAAAUUUUGCCUCAACAAACCGACCUCGACCCUCAACAGACAGGGAAGAAGUUCAAACCACCAAGACCAUUGCCCAGGCCAAAAGGUAUGCCUGUUAAUCCAAUGGUUAUUAACUCUCCUCCAGAAGUCGAUUCCCCUGAGGUUCCUCUUUCUUUAGCUAUCGUAGUUGGUGACAAAGAGAAGAAUAAGGAUAAGAAUAAAUGGGAAUCUUGAGACAAAGGAUAAACUUCAGCCAUCAUCAUCUGAAAUUAUUGGCAUCCCAUGUAACACUGGACCUGCUAUUUUAUACACUGCUAUAAUUGUUACUCUGGCUCAUUGUCUUGUUGUUGUUUGUGGCUAUUUUUACUAUAGAAAGUAUGUUUAUUACACUGGAGGAUCUAAAUUGUUUACAUUGGCAGGAAGAACCGUUUCGACUGAAAAUAUAACCACAAUCACACGUAAUCCAAGAGCAACCAAUUCAAAUGUAUUCUUUGGUUCUCCAGGUUUAAUAUCUGAUCGACCAACUCCAUCUUCAUCGUCUUCAUCUUCAUCAAGUGUCACCAAUGUUGGCUUCCGAUCAUUAUAUU